AAGAUUAAGCCAUGCAUGUCUAAGCACAUGCCUUAAUACGGUGAAGCCGCGAAUAGCUCAUUACAACAGCCAUCGUUUACUGGAAAAUAGUUGUCCUACUCGGAUAACUGUGGCAAUUCUAGAGCUAAUACAUGCGAAAAAACUCAGACCGAAAGGAAUGAGUGCAUUUAUUAGAAUAAAAACCAAUCGGGUGUAAAAAGCCCGUCGUUUGGUGAAUCUGAAUAACUUUGCCGAUCGCACGGUCCUAGUACCGGCGACGUAUCUUUCAAGUGUCUGCCUUAUCAACUUUCGAUGGUAGGUUAUACGCCUACCAUGGUAGUAACGGGUAACGGAGAAUAAGGGUUCGACUCCGGAGAGGGAGCCUGAGAAACGGCUACCACAUCCAAGGAAGGCAGCAGGCGCGCAAAUUACCCACUUCCAGAACGGAGAGGUAGUGACGAAAAAUAACGAGACAGUCCUCUUCGAGGUCUGUCAUCGGAAUGGGUACAAUUUAAAUCCUUUAACGAGGAUCUAUUGGAGGGCAAGUCUGGUGCCAGCAGCCGCGGUAAUUCCAGCUCCAAUAGCGUAUAUUAAAGUUGUUGCGGUUAAAACGCUCGUAGUUGGAUCUGCGGUUUUCGGAGAACGGUCCCCCGAAAGGGCGGUCACUGUUACUCCAAGCCUAUAUAUUCAGUCCGUUCUACGGUGCUCUUAACCGAGUGCCUAGAUCGACUGGAACGUUUACUUUGAAAAAAUUAGAGUGCUCAAAGCAGGCGGAAUAGCCUGAAUAAGGUGCAUGGAAUAAUGGAAUAGGACCUCGGUUCUAUUUUGUUGGUUUUCGGAAUCUGAGGUAAUGAUUAAGAGGAACAGACGGGGGCAUUCGUAUUCCGGCGCUAGAGGUGAAAUUCUUGGACCGCCGGAAGACGGACGACUGCGAAAGCAUUUGCCAAGAAUGUUUUCAUUAAUCAAGAACGAAAGUUAGAGGUUCGAAGGCGAUCAGAUACCGCCCUAGUUCUAACCGUAAACGAUGACAACCAGCGAUUAGUCGGCGUUAAUAUAAGACCCGACUAGCAGCUUCCGGGAAACCAAAGUUUUUCGUUUCCGGGGGAAGUAUGGUUGCAAAGCUGAAACUUAAAGGAAUUGACGGAAGGGCACCACCAGGAGUGGAGCCUGCGGCUUAAUUUGACUCAACACGGGAAAACUCACCCGGCCCGGACACUGUAAGGAUUGACAGACUGAGAGCUCUUUCUUAAUUCAGUGGGUGGUGGUGCAUGGCCGUUCUUAGUUGGUGGAGCGAUUUGUCUGGUUAAUUCCGAUAACGAACGAGACUCUGGCCUAUUAAAUAGUCGGUAUAUCUAGAAAAAGUAUACGGCACUUCUUAGAGGGACAACCGGCGUCUAGCCGCGUGAAAUAGAGCAAUAACAGGUCUGUGAUGCCCUUAGAUGUCCGGGGCUGCACGCGCGCUACACUGAAAGAAUCAGUAUGCGCCGUCGCCUAGUUCGGAAGAACCGGGUAACCCGAGUAAAUUCUUUCGUGCUUGGGAUAGGGAAUUGCAAUUAUUUCCCUUAAACGAGGAAUUCCCAGUAAAUGCGGGUCAUAAGCUCGCGUUGAUUACGUCCCUGCCCUUUGUACACACCGCCCGUCGCUACUACCGAUUGGAUGACUUAGUGAGGUCUUAGGACCGAGGUGAAGGUGCUUUAACGAGUGCCUACGCUUUGGAAAUUUGAUCGAACUAAGUUAUCUAGAGGAAGUAAAAGUCGUAACAAGGUUUCCGUAGGUGAACCUGCGGAAGGAUCAUUAACGAGCUAGAGAAAGACGAAUGAGCGUACGGGAGAGAUCCCGUACGUCUUUCUCGAGAGAGAUACGAAUGAACCUACUGGAGAGAUCCCGUGUAUGUCUUUCUCCAAAAAAUCCGGUCCGAGUGAACCGAGCGAAUUCCCGGCCAGGCGCUAGAAUGCGCGAGCGUCCGUGUGUCGGUUCUUUGCUAGGAUAACGCCUCGGAUCGGGACCCGAAAAUAGCGAGACUGAACCGUGAGUCGUCGUUGACUCGUCGAUAGUGUCCGAAUGAAUGGAGAAAUCGGUCGCUUCGUAGUCGAUCGAGCCGCGAUCGUACCGGUCGGUGUUUCCGUCGUGGGACAUUAGGACGGGUCAAGGUUGUAGCGGAGUUUGGAUACCUACCCGCCGUCCUAAUACGAAUCCUGCGUGAAUAAAGCGGAUAACCCGUCGGUGCGAGCGAUCGACAUGAGUGUAAGUCCAGGCUUCUCGGGACUUAUACUGUCCGAAUCGAAUGAAUGCUUAACGACACCGAGAAUAUAUCACGGAGAAGGUUACUCUUUUAGAGAGGUAGAACGGACGUCCCGGUAAUCCUACCCGUAGAAUGAACCAUAGGCAGGAUAGUUUUCCUUUCGACGGGAGCGAUUGCUUAUUCCGGAACCUAUCGAAUGCUAACGCACCGGUAAUCCGUCUGGGCGCUAACCGAAAGACGCGUUAGAUUCGGUAUCCCUAUUCGUCCUUUCGACUAGUACGUGACGAGCCUAACGGGAAAGGUUUAGGUUCCGAGCGCACGGUCCGAACGAACUCGAAGGCGAAUAGGGGUAGGUUCGAAGAGUCGCCGGUUCUUGUAGCACGGGUCUU
rnacentral:rRNA from 1 species